GGGUCUCUGGGUCCUUUUCCGGUGUCCUUAAGGUUCUUGGACUCUGCAUGGUUCCCUUUAGCCUGUCUUCGGGCCUGCCACAAUUAAAUGACCGCAAGAAAGAAGUCUAUGCUAAGCCCCAUAAUGAACGUUUCAAGCAAGAAGGAUGAGAAUUUUAGAUCUGGAGGUGUCCUCGGGACAGGAUCUUGUCAAGACCUGAUGGGGAAGUUCUAGAGUGCUGCCAGGUUGCCAGAUUUCUAAGAAGGGGUUUGAAGAGGAGAAAAGGAUUUUUGCAUGUUUAGAAAUCAAGGUUCAGGAGAAUCUUGACAGUGAACGUGUCUCAUUACAUUGAAUAACAGCUACAGGAUGUUCAAGAGCUGUUCCGGCUUUUCUGGAUUCUGUGCUUCACCAAUAGAGGAAUCCCAUGGAGCAUUAAUUAGUUCUUGCAAUUCCAGAACCAUGACUGAUGGGUUGGUGACAUUCAGGGAUGUGGCCAUCGACUUCUCUCAGGAGGAGUGGGAAUGCCUGGACCCUGCUCAGAGGGACUUGUACGUGGAUGUAAUGUUGGAGAACUAUAGUAACUUGGUGUCACUGGUCUCACUGUGUCACCC
rnacentral:sRNA from 1 species